rnacentral:lncRNA from 1 species
GGUCAUAUCAAUCCAUCUCAUUACACAAGCACAGUCCUUACACAGAUUACAUUGAUUUUUAACAAAUUUAUUAGCACUUUUUGUUGCACAUGCAUCUACGGCGGAAGCCACGACAUUUGCCUCCAGUGAACUGCUCCCUUUUGCAGGUGUUUUUACAGUUAGUGGAUGAAAAGCACAACCCCUUGAACUUGCCGCUCGCAGCCUCGCAGGUCCUUUCCUGAACUUCCUUGCUUGACUUACUCCUUGCCUCAACACCCAAUGGCCCCAUCUCUGUCAAAUCCCAUUACAUUAAAUAUAAAGAUCAAAUUUUUUUUGGUCGAAUAAGAUGCGUUAUUGAAAACAUCAUAAGAAAUUAAUUACUUAAAAGUGGUAUAAUUACCGGUAGCGGCUAAAAUCAGGACAAGAACGAAGGCAGCUGAAACAAGACGCGUGGAACGCUCCAUUUGAAUGUGUGUUUAUGUGAGUGUGUGCUUGAUCUGUGUGUUUGUAUGUGCGUGCUUGUGUAUGAUAAGAGGUCUUAGACGCUAAUGCAAAGAACAAUAACCAUGCAAGGCUUAUUAUACAGGGGAUCUAGGGCAGAUUAAAGAGGAUUGGUCUCCAUAAAAAGAGGUAACUCCAUACCCAAAAUAAAAAGUUGAAAUUUUCAGCUUAAUUGGCACCCUAAACCAAAUUUCUAUUUUUGUUGACUAAGUUCUCCGCCCUAUAUUUUUCUAUGCACAUUUAACUUUUGUUUUAAAAGAAUGUAUGGGUAUUAAGAAUAUGUGAGUCUGGAGAAGGUUAGAUAUGUGCAUGUGCCAUGCAUAGUAAUAUUAUUGAUGUUAUCGGGCCAUGCCUUCAAAUAAACGAGGAAAGAGAAAGAAAGAGAAACAACAGGACCAUGCAUGCAUAUUUCUGCGCUCAACUGAAAUGUCUUUCUCUGUCCGUUCUUCCCACACGAACGAUGACAAUAUUCCUUUAUUUCAUAUAAUUUUCCACUUACAUAUUGUAAUUCAUAAUCCUUUAUUCAAUACAUGAAAACACAUGAAUUGGAUUGAUUGGGGCUAGUUGAUAAUCUCAUACACAUUCUAUCUUUUCUCAAAUUUUUGAAUUCUCCGAUAUUCAAACACACAUACCUCAUCAUAUUGUUGAAUAAGAGCUUAUUUAAAAGUACUUUUAAAAUAAUUGAAACGCUUUUGGUGAAAUUAAUUUUGAGUUCUUAAAGCAAGUGUUUUUUGAACGAAGCACCAAAUAUAUGUUUCUUGCAGGAAACAUUUAAAUGCUUUUUAAGGAUCUAUUUGGAUUUUUACUAUGGAUUGGUUUCAAAAGCAUUUUCAUCAAAAUCACUUUUAGUUAUUCUAAAAGUAUUUCCAAACGAACCCUCUACUUAGUGCCAAUAGGAUGAUUAAUUUUGUGUAUCUGACAAAGGAAAAAAAAAACAUCUAUAAGCACAACACAAGAAUGUUAAGAAACAAAAGGAGCAGUAAUGAAAGAAACCCUGUCGAAACAGGGUGAUUUAGUUAAUUAGCAAGAGUGGCCACUAUAUAGAAGGCUUAAUAAAUCUAUCUCAAUACACACAAGCACAGUCCAAAGUCCACAGACUCAUCUCUCGCGCACAGAUUCCAAACUACUAUAUAACAAAGUUAGCAUUGUUUGGCGCACAUGCAUCUACGGCGGAAGCCAUGGCAUUGUCCUCCAUUGAAGCCCUCUGACUUGCAGGUGUUUACGCAGUUGCUUGUGAAAAAGCACACUGCCUUGAACUUGCUGCUCUGAGACUCGCACGUCCUUCUCUUAGAAAGAUUUUUCAGUGUGACCGUCACAUAAAACGGUACACCACGUGUCUUUAUGUAAAUGAUUGGAUAUGUGUGUUAAAAGGUUAAUAACUUAAAAAUUAAAAUUUUUCACCACUUACAUAAAAACACACGGUGUACCAUCCGUAUUCCCAUCACAACUAAAAAAUUUCCCUUCUCUCGACAGCCAUUGGUCCCAUCUCUACCAAAUUCAAACUCAUUAAAACGACAUCAAUCUUUAGCUUAAAAUCAUAUUAAUUAAGAAAAGAGACAUGUUUAAGACUGCUUAUGGAAGGCUUAAAGUGUUUUCACGACAAAAAUGCUUCUAAUUAUAAUUACGUAUGACAGAAAUUAAAAAAACACUUUUGAGUCGUGGAGGCAUGGACGGAGUCAGAAACACUUUUUUAGUGGAGACAACUUUUAAAGAUUAAAUUAAAUUGAAAAUUCAAUACAAUGUAUCUACUUUUAUCCAACUACAUGAUUUUGGACUGGUGUUUAGAACGCUAAAAUUGCCAACCAUUAGCUUACAUGACUAGGAAGGGUGAGAGGAUAGGAAGUAUAUAACGUAAGAGGACAAUUUAUAUUUUUAGUUGGAGCAAUUUUCCAUCAUAAAAAGAGUUGAGUGGUGGCAACUGCCCCCAGUGGGCAUAUGCUGCCUAGUGCCUCCGUCCAUGCGUGGAAGUACUUCAUGUUCAAUAAAUAUUUGUACAUAUUUAUAAUAUUAAUUAUAAAAGGCAAAAGGGUUUAUAAGCAUAAUUGCUUCUUUCAUACCAAUAGUAGCCAAAAACAAGACAUGGACGAAGGCGACUGGAACAAGACGCAUUGAGGACUUCCUGUUAGAUCUAUGCGUGUGUGCUUGUGUAUGAAUUAGAGAUCAGAUUUUGCUGAUACAGACAACUAUAACCAUGCAUAGCUUAUUAUUAUGGGAGUUUUAACGAAAAGCCUAUGGUACUGUUCAUUUUAACGAAAAACCACAUUUUUACACUAAAAAGUCAAACAUGGUACUAUUCACUUUACCCUUUAUUUUGUCCUUAUCAUUAAAACUCAAAGUUUUCAAGUCAUUUUCAUUAGUUUUCCUUAUUAUAUAUGGAAAGAAGAUCCAUUUCCGAAAACGGAUCUCAGCUCCAUACCCAAAAUAAGCAGUUGAAAAAUUCCAGCUUAAAAGGCACCACAAACCAAAUUCCUAUUUUUGUUAACUAAGUUUUGGCUUCAUAAUUUAGAUUACUGUAACCUAAUUACAAUUUUCAUAUACAUAACAACUUUUUAACAAGUUUACAGUUAAGAUUUCAAACUUAGGGUUGGUUAAAAACUUAGGAUCAUAAUAUUGAUAAAUAUAAGUUCUUACAAAUGCAUACUAUAGCAAUACCACACAUACCAUGUAGAGAAUAUGUAGAGAAGUGGGAGCAAAAUGUGUUAGUGUUUUAAAAAUAGGUAAGAAUAAUGAAAACACUACACAAGACAUAAAAUUAAUGAUCCAUGCAGGGUCAUUCAAUUUAUUAGCAAAAGCUACCCUGUGGAUACAGAGUCAUUUCAAUCCAUCUCAUUACACAAACACAAUCCCAACAAAUAUUACAUUUUUUUUAACAAAUUAAUUAGCACUUUUUGUUGCACAUGCAUCUACGACGAAAGCCCUGGCAUUGGCCUCCGGUGAAUUUCUCCACUUUGCAAGUGUUUUUACAGUUGGUAGACGAAAAGCACAACCCCUUGAACUUGCCGCUCGCAGCCUCACAUGUCCUUUCCUUAGCUACCUUGUCUGACUUACUCCUUGCCUCAACACCCAUUGGUCCCAUCUCUGUAAAAUCAAAUUACAUUAAAUAUAAAAAUCAGCUUUUUGUCAAAUAAGAUGUUUUAUUCAAAACAUCAUAAGAAGUUAAUUAUUAAAAAGAGGUAUAAUUACCGGUAGCAGCGAAAAGCAGGACAAGAACGAAGGCAGCUGAAACAAGACGCAUAGAAUGCUCCAUUUGAAUAUAUGUUUCUUUGGUGUGUGAUAUGUGUGUUUGUGUGUGUGUGCUUGUGUAUGAUAAGAGAGAUCUCAAUCGCUAAUGCAAAGAACAAUAACCAUGGAAGACUUAUUAUAUAGGGGAUAUAUGGCAGAUUAAAGAGGAUUGAUCUCCGUAAAGAAAGGUAGCUCCACGCCCAAAAUAAAAGGUUGAAAUAUUCAGCUUAAUUGGCACCAUAAACCAAAUUCCUAUUUUUAUUGACUAAGUUCUCCAAACUACAAUUUUCUAUGCACAUUAGGUUCUCUUUUUCAAGCACAUUUAACAUUUCCUUUAAAAUAAUAUUUGGGUUAUAAGCACAUUUGGCUUAUUAUUCAGAUUUUUAUAUGUAAACGAAGCGCCAUAUAUAUCUCAUCGGAAAGACCAUAGUUCUUAUAACGAUAUAAUUUUUUUUUUAAAUUUUUUUGUUUGUUUAUACCAUAAUAAUUUAAAUUAUAUAGAUAAGGAUUUGAACAUUAGGUAUAGAGAAGAUUAUUACGUUACAUUAGCUAACUUGGCUAAGCCUAGUAAAAUGAAUUUAAAAGUAGAAUAGUGGAGGAAAUAAUGAUUAAUUAUAUUUCAAACAUAGGACAUUACAAAGACUUAAAUUUGUUGACAAAUAAAGAAGUUACAUAUAGCAUGUCAUAUUGUAUAAAAUAAUUCAUGACGGUGCUACUUAACAAACAAGAACAUUAGAAACCAUAACAACGAUACAAUAUUAACAAUCCAACUAUGACUUGGGUCAUUUAUUUAUUCCGGCUAGCUCCACACUAGUACCAAAGUACAUAUGUCCAUGAACACACUGUUAAUUAAGUGAUUAGUGAUCAGCUUAUCAAUAGCUUAAUUAAUUAGCUAAUUAACAAUGUCCAGUGCAAAAGCAUAUACGGCGUAAUUAAGCCACGACAGUGGCCUCUGGGGUGUAAGAAGGAUGAAGUUCAAAAGUGUGAUCCAAAUGAAGAGACUAUCAAUGGUUAAAAUAAAAGCCAUGUCAAAAGAUUAAAUCAGCUAAAAUACAUUUAGUUAGUUAGUUGGAAUCUGGAGAGGUUAGAUAACUUGGUUAGAAGAAGUUAGUUGAGAUAAGGAGGUUAUGAAUUACUUGCUUCACAAGUCUUGUAGCUGAACACAUAUAUAAGUGAGCGUUGUAAAUCAUACGGUAUUAAGAAAGAAAGCUUUUAUCUGAUAUACAUCUCUAUCUCUUUUUCUCUCUCUGUUCAACCUUUUCUAUUUCUCUCUGUGAAACUAUCUUAACAUGGUAUCAGAGCCGGACGAUCCGGUGCUUCCGCUUCCUACACAUUUUCUUCUCUUCUCUACCCUCUAGUUUGCAUCUUUCUGUGAUAUUUGGCGUUGGAAACAUACCAGUCGCUUCGAAGGUUGGUUUCUUCUCGUUUGCCCACCAACUGUUUGAUCAAAAGUCUCAAUCAAAGUUCGUCACGCAAAUCUGCAAAAUGGUCACUGCUGCUCAAUUGCAAAUUGUUCAGUUUCCUAUUACUGGUCUUCUCUCCACCGUCUCCACUUCUGUUACAGUAAAACUCGAUGAUUCAAACUAUCUUACAUGGAGCUUUCAAGUUCGAUUGCUUCUGGAAAGUCAUGGCAUUAUGGGGUUUAUCGAUGGUUCACGAAAGUGUCCACCAAGAUUCAAUGAAGAUUCUAACACUGAAGGGAUUGAAACUGAUGACUAUUUAGUCUGGAAAAUGCACGAUCGUGCACUAAUGCAAUUGCUCAUAGCCACAUUAUCAACGACUGCCAUUUCAUGCAUCAUUGGGUGCCAGAGUUCUGCAUAAAUGUGGUUGAAUCUUACUGAGCAUUUUUCUGCGGUGACAAAAGCUACAAUCUUUCAGAUGAAGACAGAGCUUCAGAAUAUCAAGAAAGGGUCUGAAUUCGUUUCUGUUUAUCUUCAAAAGAUUAAGGAUGCAAGGGAUUAUCUUGCUGCAGCUGGAGUAUUAUUUGAUGAUGAAGAUAUCAUUAUUCUUGCAUUGAAAGGAUUACCUUCAGAUUUCAACACGUUCCGAUGUGUGAUCAGAGGACGGGAAAAUGGAAUAUCUCUCAAAGAUUUCAGGUCUCAACUUUUGGCAGAAGAAGCAAUCAUCAAUCAAUCGUUUGACAGUUCUCCUGGUUUGUCCUUUGGUAGUACUAUGGAGGACCAAGUUCUGCCAGUCAUAGUCAAGGGUCUACUCACGGUAGUGGAUCGUAUAACACUUUCAAUGGUGGUUAUCACACUUAUGGUAAAGGGAGUUCUUUCAGAGGCAGAGGGAAAGGCCGUCUUCAGUACAAUUCAACUCCAAGAUUUUCUAAUGGUAAUCCCGGUAUUCUUGGUACUCCAAAACCAUACCAGUCCUACUGUCCGGAUCACCCAUCAGAAAUCCCCACCUGUCAAAUAUGCAACAAAAAGGGUCAUGUUGCUGCAGAUUGCUUCCAAAGACAUAACACCACCGCCUCAAACUCUCCUAUUCAAUGCCAGAUAUGUUGGAAAUAUGGACACUCAGCCCUUCAAUGCUACCACAUGAGUAAUUUUGCCUAUCAAGGGCGGCCCCCAACUCCUAAUCUCACAGCUAUGCAUGCAAAUCAUCAACCUUCAGCACCAACUUAGCAAUUUUGGAUUGCAGAUACUAGGGCUACAUCACACAUGACCUCUGAAUUGGCAAACCUGGAUCUAUCUACUCCAUAUCAAGGGUCCGAUACAAUUACUACUGCUAGUGGUGCAGGUUUGCAUAUUUCAAAUAUUGGCACUUCUACAUUGGUUGCCCCACAUCAUUCUCUCACUCUUAAGAAUGUUUUACAUGUUCCAAAGCUUUCCCAGCAUUUGUUAUCAAUUUAUCAACUAUGCAAGGACAAUAAGUGUCGAUUCAUUUGUGAUGAUGUUUCUUUUUGGGUUCAGGACAAAUCCACAGGGAAAAUACUCAUCCAGGGGCUGUGUAAAGCUGGUUACUAUCUUAUACCUUUCAUCUCAUCCCACAAGCAGUCAUCCUCAUCAUCUGCAUCUCAUUCAUGUUUCCUUGCAAAACCGGUUCAUUCAAGUAUAUGGCACAAAAGGCUAGGGCACACAUCCAACGCAAUUACUUCUGCAAUCCUUCAUCAAUCUCAAGUUUCUGCAUCAUUAGAUACAUGUUCAUCACCUUGUACACCAUGUUUAGAGGGCAAAUUUACCAAAUUACCUUUUCGUAUUCCUGUUUCUAAAUCUGUACACCCUUUAGAGAAAAUCCACAGUGAUGUAUGGGGCCCUGCUCAUUUGCUAUCUUAUGAAGGAUUUAGAUAUUAUGUAACCUUCAUAGAUGAUUGUACUCGUUAUACAUGGAUUUUUCCAUUACGAAAUAAAACAGAAGUCUUUGCAACCUUUGUUCAGUUUCAUGCUUAUUUGAGUACCCAAUUUUCUGCUGUAGUCAAAAUAUUCCAAAGUGAUGGUGGUGGUGAAUAUACAAGUAAUAAGUUUCAACAGUUUUUGGCACAACAUGGCAUUUUACAUCACAAAUCAUGUCCUUAUACACCUGAAUAGAAUGGUUUAGCAGAACGAAAACAUAGGCACAUUGUCGAAAUUGCAAUCACCUUUAUUCAAACUGCAAAACUGCCUAACCAAUUUUGGGUUCAUGCUUGUGCUACUGCUUCUUAUCUGAUCAAUCGAAUGCCAUGUGCUUUAUUACAUAUGAAAUCCCCUUUUCAAAUGCUAUAUCACACUGUUCCUGACAUUAAACAUCUCCGAGUCUUUGGUUGUGCGUGUUUUCCUCUGCUAAAACCAUACAAUACCUCUAAAUUUCAGCCUAAAACAGCCACUUGUGUGUUUUUGGGAUAUGCUAGUCAAUACAAGGGCUACAUAUGUCUUGAUUUUAUUACGGGCAAAUUAUAUGUCUCUAGACAUGUGUUGUUUGAUGAAGCUAGUUUUCCAUACUCAAAUCCCAUAUUUUCUUCUUCUUUUCAAAUGUUUCCUGCAUCAUCUCAGUUACAUUCAUCACAAAGUCCAGUGCAUCCACCAUAGUUCACACCAAUCAUUACAUUAUCAAAUCAAGUAUCAUCACCCUCAUCUCAUUCAUUAUCAUCUCCGACCACAGAAUCUUUGCCUAUGCAUUCAUCUAGUGCUUCAGAAUCUCUUUCUGCAUCUCGAGCCUCAAAAUCAUUGGAUACAGUUGCAUCUCGAGCCUCAGAGUCCAUUUCUUUACCUUCCCAUGAACACACUGCAGUACAUGCACCCAGGGACUUAUCACCAAAUCCCAUGCCCUUCUCUAGUGUUGGUACAUAGCACCCUAUCCAUGUGGAUCCUGAUUUUCACCCUGAGAGUCUAAGUGUGGUUUUACCUAUACCACUGAAUGUUCAACCUAUGCAGACAAGGUCGAAGAAUGGGAUGUUCAAACCGAAAGUGUUUUUAGCCACAGUUACUUCUGAACCUAAAACAUUUAAAAGUGCAACACUGAUUCCUGAAUGGCAUCAUGCAAUGAAAGAGGAAAUAUCAGCUCUUCAUUCUCAAAAGACUUGGACUUUGGUACCCUUACCACCUGCUAAGAAUUUAGUCGGGUGUAAAUGGAUUUACAAAAUCAAGAAACAUGCAGAUGGCUCCGUGGCAAGGUAUAAGGCACGGCUUGUAGCACAGGGAUAUAGUCAAGAAGAGGGAGUUGAUUACUUAGAGACUUUUAGUCCGGUAGUGAAACCUACAACUAUACGACUGAUAUUUGCCUUAGCUGCUCAAUUCAAGUGGACUCUUUGGCAGUUAGAUGUUAAAAAUGCCUUUCUCCAUGGCAUCCUUUAAGAGGAAGUGUAUAUGGUGCAGCCUCCGGGGUUUGAAAGUACAUCACAUCCCUCAGACUAUGUUUGCAAACUUCACAAAUCAUUAUAUGGCCUAAAGCAGGCUCCUCGAGCCUGGAAUGAGCGAUUUACCAGUUUCUUACCCAGUUUGGGAUUUCAGGUAUCCUCGGCUGAUCCGUCUUUGUUUGUACAACAGUCUACAAAGGGCACUCAACUAAAAUACAUAUAGUUAGUUAGUUGGAAUCUGGAGAGGUUAGAUAACUUGGUUAGAAGAAGUUAGUUGAGAUAAGGAGGUUAUGAAUUACUUGCUUCACAAGUCUUGUAGCUGAACACAUAUAUAAGUGAGCGUUGUAAAUCAUAUGGUAUUAAGAAAGAAAGCUUUUAUCUGAUAUACAUCUCUAUCUCUUUUCUCUCUGUUCAACCUUUUCUAUUUCUCUCUGUGAAACUAUCUUAACAUGGGGAAGCCCUCAGUUUGGCAAACAACAACAUAAUUACUUUUUCUCACGUAGGUUCCCAUGAAGCGAUUAGUUUGAGACUCCAUGUCCUACCCUCAACAACCAUCGUCCGUUUAAACAAUUAUCAAAACAAAAUAUGGUAAAUAUGAAUGCUUAAAAUCGUAAUAAUAUAUGUUAACAAUGAAAUUGAGUAACAAUAUUGAGGAAGAAGAAGUAUUACUGGUGGCCACCAAAAGCAACAGGAAGACGCAGGUAGUUGGGAGAAAACGCAUGGACCGUUUUCUAUGUAUCUGUAACAAGUUUGUAGUUAAGAUUUCAAACUUAGGGUAACUCAGAAUGAUAUUAUUGAUAUAUAUAGGUUCUUAUAAAUUCAUAAUAUAGGAAUACCCAAGGAUGAAACCAAAGAUCUAUAUGGACAUGGGCAUCCUAUAAAACAAAAUCAUACAUAUUAAAAAGCUCAAGAAUUUACUAACAAAACACAUAUAUUAACCCAUAAAAUUUUUCGUAUAACAUAUUACAAUAUCACACGACGCAUUUUCAAGUUUUGAAAGUAUUGCAUGACAAUUUCAUUACCAAUACCAUCAAAUAUCUCUUCUUCUUUUUUAAAUAUCCAUGUUAUUAUUCAUCCAUAAUUUCCUUCUGAUUUUUGAAUUGAUUAUUUGAAAAUUUCAUAGCUUAAAAUGCUCUAUCACGUAAAAUUACUAUAUGUACAAUUUUUUUCACAAAAAAAACUGAGUUGGGGCAUCCGCCUCUUGGGCCCAAGGUGGCUCCGUCCUUAGCAAUACCACACAUGCUAUGUAGAGAAGUGAGAGAAAAAUAUGAAAGUGUUUUUUUUUUUCAAAAAAAAUGUGGAAGAGUCUUUUGAAAUGUCAUCAAGAAAACAUUAUCUUAAAAGACCAUUUCUUCUAAAAUAAAGUAAAAAACAAUUAAUUAAGUCCUUGCUUAAAAGUUGCUUAAGCAACUUCGAACCUUUACUAAUUUUUUUCUGGUGCAUCAACCUCACCUUGUCUUACAUAUGCUGUUACCGGUUUAAAAGUCAAAAGAAUAUAAUACAACCGAAGGUGUGGAUAAAAAAGUACAUUUGAAAUUGACAAUGUGACUUAACAAUUUUUGAGAUACAAAUUAAAGUAAUGUGUUGAAUCCAAGUACACUAAGUGAAAUAUUUUCAACAAUGCCUUGUCAAAAUGGCAAAAAAGUUUCGUUAUUAGCAUUUGACGAUAAUUAUCAUGCACUCUUUCUUAAUGGAAAGACAGUAAACAAAAGAAGAGUAUGUGGUGAUUAUCUGGAAUGUUAGCAAUAACCCUGAAGAAAAAUAUGAUAAUAGGCGAUUAAAAAUGCAUAAGGUGCGGUGAAAAUACUAAACAAUACAUAAAAAUAAUGAUCCUUGGAGGGUCAUUCAAUUUAUUAGCAAAAGCAAGCCUGUGGAUACAUGGUCAUAUCAAUCAAUUUCAUUACACAAGCACAAUCUCCACACAAAUUACAGUUCUAUUUAUACCAAAUCAAUUAGCACUUUUUAUUGCAUAUGCAUCUACGACGGAAGCCAUGACAUUCGCCUCCAAUAAAUUUUUCCGUUUUGCAGGUGUUUUUACAGUUGGUAGACGAAAAGCACAUCCCCUUGAACUUGCCGCUUGUAGCCUCGCAUGUCCUUUCCUUAACUGCCUUGCCUGACUUGCUCCUUGCCUCAACACCCAUUGGCCCCAUCUCUGUCAAAUCGAAUUACAUUAAAUAUAAAUAUUUUGUUUUUUGUCAAAUGAGACUCUUUAUUCGAAACAUCAUAAGAAAUUAAUUAUUAAUAAGAGAUAUAAUUACCGGUAGCGGAAAAAAGUAGGACAAGGAUGAAGGUGGCUGAAACAAGACGCAUUGAAUGCUCAAUUUGAAUUUAUUUGUAUGUGAUAUGUGUGCUUGUGUAUGAUAAGAGAGAUCUCAGACGCUAAUGCAAAGAACAAUAACCAUGCAAGACUUAUUAUAUAGGAAUCUAGGGCAAAUUAAAGAGUGUUGGUCUCCGUAAAAAGAGGUAGCUUAUACUUAACCAACAGUGAAUUAUUUCAGCUAGUUCCACACUAGCACCAAAGUACAUGCGUCCAUGCACCCACUAAUAAUUAAGUGAUAAGUGACCAGCUCAUCACUAGCUUAAUUAAUUAGAUAAUUAACAAUUUUUUUGUGCAAAAGCAUCUGCGGCUUAAACCCAAGAACGACCACCAGUAAAGCCCUUAGUUUGGGAAACAACUGCAAAGUUACUUUUACUCACGCAAGUUCCAUUGAAGCGGUUAGUCUUGAGAUUCACAGGUUCUACCUUCAGCAACUUUUCCUCCUUUAAACAAUUAUUCCAAACAAAAUAAGGUUACAAUGCAUGCUUAUAAUCAUGUAUAAUACAUACAUACAUAUAUAUAUAUAUAUAUUCAUACUACAGCAAUACAUCAGGGACGAAGUUUGAGAUCGAUUUGACUCGGGAUAUCUUAAAAAACAAAGUCAUAAAUUAAAAGGCUUAAGAAUUAACUAACAAAGGACAUAUAUUAAUCCAUAAAAUAUUUCAUACAACAUAUUACAAUAUCUCACAAUGCAUUUUAAGUUUUGAAAGCUUUGCAUAACAACUUCAUUACCAAUACCUUCAAAUAUCUAUUCCUAUACAAAUAACCAUGUUAUCAUUCAUCCAUUAAUUUUCUUACGAUUUCUCAAUUGAUCCUUUAAAAAUUUCAUAACCUAAAAUGCUCUAUCACUUGAAAUUAUAAUAUGCAAUAUGUAUGAUUUUUUCACAAAAAACCGAGUUAGGGCAUCAGCCGCUUGGGCCGAAGGUGGCUCCAUUCUUGGCAAUACUCCACAUACUAUGCAGAAAAAUGAGAGAAAAUUAUGAAAGUGUUUUAAGAAAAAAAAAAUGUGGAAGAGUUUUAAAAUGUUAAUUAACAAGAAAAUAUUAAUCUUUAAGGACUAUUUCUUCUAAAAUAAAAUAAAAUAAAAAUAAACAAUUAAGUCUUUUCUUAAAAGUUCCUUAAGCAAUUUCGAACCUUUUCCUAAUUUUUUUUCUUGUGCAUUAACCUCACCUUGUCUUACAUAUAUUACAACUGGUUUAAAGGUCAAAAGAACUUAAUACAAUAGAAGGUGUGGCUAGAAAAGUACAUCUGAAAUCGACAAUGCGACUUAAAUAAUCUUUGUGACACAAAUAAAAGUAAUGUGUUGAAUCCAAGUAUACACUAAGUGAAAAAUUUCAACAAAAUGCCUUGUCAAAAUGAAACAAAAAAAAUUGUUAUUAGCAUUUAACAAUAAUUAUCUAUCACUCCUUCUUAAUUGAAAGUCAAUAAACAAAAGAAGAGUCUGUGGUGAUAAUCUGGAAUGUUAAUUAUAACUCUGAAGAAAAACAUAUAGGAUAAUAGGCGAUUAAAAGUACGUAAGGGGCAGUAAAAACACUACACUAGACAUAUGAAUAAUGAUCCAUGCACGGUCAUUCAAUUUAUUAGCAAAAGCAACCAUGUGGAUACAGGGCCAUAUCAAUCCAUCGCAUUACACAAGCACGGUUUCUACACAGAUUACGUUUAUUUUUAACAAAUUAAUUAGCACUUUUUGGUGCACACGCAUGUACGGGUCAAGCCACUACAUUUGCCUCUGGUGAAUUGCUCUUUUCUGCAGGUGUGUUUACAAUUGUUGGACGAAAAGCACAACCCUUUGAACAAGGUGCUCGGAACCUCGCAAAUCUUUCCCUCAAUUGCCUUGCUUGACUCAGUCCUUGCCUCAACACUCAUUGGCCCCAUCUCUAAAGAUCAAAAUUUUUUUUGUUAAAAAAGAUGCUUUAUUCGAAACAUCAUAAAAAAUUAAUGAUUAAAAGGAGGUAUAAUUACCGGUAGCAGCAAAAAACAUGACAAGAAUGAAGGCGGCUGAAACCAGACGCAUUGAACGCUCCAUUUGAAUCUGUGUGUUUGUGACUUGAACUGUGUGUUUCUGUGUGUGUGCUUGUGUGUGAUAAGAGAGAUCUUAGACGCUGAUGCAAAGAACAAUAACCAUGGAAGGCUUUUUAUAUAAGGAUGUAGCGCAACUUAAAGAGGAUCGGUCAGCGUAAAGCGAGGUUGCUCCACACCCAAAAUACAAAGUUGAAAUUUCCAACCUAAGAGGCACCGUAAACAAAAUUUCUAUUUUUGAUGACUAAGUUAUCCGCCAUACAUUUUUCUAUGCAUAUUAGGGUUUCUUUUUCGAGCACAUUUAACUUUUGCUUUUAAAAGAAUAUUUGGGUUUUAACUUUUAAGCAAAUUUGACUUAUUAUUCACAUUUUUAUAUGUAAAUGAAGCGGCAUAUAUAUAUCUCACAUAAAACACCAUAGUUCUUAUCAUGAUUUGCACAUUAGGUGUAGACGAAGAUUAUGUUGCUUUCGGUAACGUGGUUAAGCCUAAUAAAAAGGGAACUUUAACGAAAAACACCCGGUACUGUUCACUUUAACGAAAAACUACAUUUUUACACUAAAAAGUCAAUCAUGGUACUAUUCACUUUACCCUUUAUUUUGUCCUUAUCAUUAAAACUCAAAGUUUUCAAGCCCUUUUCAUUAGUUUUCCUUAAUAUGUUAAAGUAGAACCUUGAGGAAAUGAUGGUUAAUUGUAUUUUGUAGGGCAUUACAAGGAAUUAAAUUUGUUGAUAAAUAAGAAGUUACACAGUACGACAUACUGUACGAAGUAACUCAUGACGGUGAUACUUAAUAAACAAAAAUAUUGUCCGUUUAUCGUACAUCGUGCAGUCAGUUUUUAUUAAGUACUAUUUAUGUUUAUUGUUAAAUAAAAAUAUUUAAAAUAAUUUCUGACCGCACAAUGUACGAUGAACAGACACGAAAAACCAUAACAGAGAUACGAUAUUAAUUAAUAACCCAACAGUGAAUUAUUCCAGCUAGUUCCACACUAGCACCAAAGUACAUGCGUCCAUGCACCCACUAAUAAUUAAGUGAUAAGUGAUCAGCCCAUCACUAGCUUAAUUAAUUAGCCAAUUAACUAUUUUUUUGUGCAAAAGCAUCUGCGGCAUAAACCCAAGAACCAGCCACUAGGGAAGCCCUUAGUUUGACAAACAACUACACAAUUACUUUUACUCACGCAAGUUCCAUUGACGCGGUUACUCUGAAACUCGCAGGUCCUACCCUCACCAACUGUCGUCCAUUUAAACAAUUAUUUCAAACAAAAUAAGGUUACUAUGCAUGCUUAUAAUCGUAAUAUAUAUAUAUAUAUAUAUAUAUAUAUAUAUAUAUUAACGAUGAAGAUAGUUAACAAGAUCGAGCAAGAAGAAAUACUACCGCUUGCAACCAAAAGUAGCAGGUAGAAGCAGAUAGUUGGGAGAAAACGCAUGGAACGCUCUUUAUGUGUAUAUAACUAGUUUACACUUAAGAUUUCGAACUUAGGGUAACUUAGAAUGACACCAUUGAUAUAUAUAUAUAUAUAUAUAUAAGCUCUUAUAAAUUCAAACAAUAGCAAUAUAUCAGGGAUGAAGUCUGAGAUCUAUAUGAAUUGGGACAUCCUAAAAAAUAGUCAUACAUUAAAAAGCUUAAGAAUUACAAUAUCACACAACGCAUUUUUAAGUUUUGAAAGCAUUGCAUAACAAUUUUAUUACCAAUACCAUCAAAUAUUUGUUCCUAUAAAAAUUACAAUGUUAUCAUUCAUCCACCAAUGUUUUUACAAUCUCUCAAUUGAUCAUUUAGAAAUUUCAUAACCGAAAAUGUUCUAUUAUGUGAAAUUAUAAUAUGCAAUAUAUACAAUUAUUGCAUCAGCCCCUUGGGCCCAAGGUGGCUCCGUUCCUGGCAAUACCACACAUACUAUGCAGAAAAGUGAGGGAAAAAUAUUAAAGUGCUUUAGGAAAAAAAAUAUGGAAGAGUCUUUUAAAAUGUUACCAAGAAAAUAUCAAUCCUUAAGGACAAUUUCCUCUAAAAUAAAAUAAAAUAAAAAUAAACAAUUAAGUCUUUGCUAAAAAGUUGCUUAAGCAAUUUCGAACCUUUUCCUAAUUUUUGUUUUCUCGUGCAUCAACCUCACCUUGUUUUACAUAUAUUACUACUGGUUUAAAAGUCAAAAGAAUAUAAUACAACAGAACGUGUGGAUAGAAAAGUACAUCUGAAAUCGACAAUUCAUGCGACUUAAAUAAUCUUUGUGACACAAAUUAAAGUAAUGUGUUGAAUAUAAGUACACUAAGUGAAAAUUUUAAACAAAAUGCCUUGUCAAAACGGAAAAAAAAAAUUGUUAUUAGCAUUUGACUAUAAUUAUCCAUCACUCUUUCUUUAUUGAAAGUCAAUAAACGAAAGAAGAGUAUGUGGUGACUAUCUAGAAUGUUAAUAAUAACCCUAAAGAAAAACAUACAAGAUAAUAGGCGAUAGUAGGCGAUUAAAAGUACAUAAGGCGCGGUGAAAACACUACACUAGACAUAUGAAUAAUGAUCCAUGCAGGGUCAUUCAAUUUAUUAGCAAAAGCAACCAUGUGGAUACAGGGUCAAAUCAAUUCAUAGCAUUACACAAGCACGGUCUCUACAGAGAUUACAUUUCUUUUUAACUAAUUAAUUAACACUUUUUGGUGCACAUGCAUGUACGGGUCAAGCCACUACAUUUGCCUCUGGUGAAUUGCUCCUUUCUGCAGGUGUGUUUACAGUUGUUAGAGGAAAAGCACAACCCCUUGAACAAGGUGCUCGGAACCUCACAAAUCUUUCCCUCAACUGCCUUGCUUGACUCAGUCCUUGCCUCAACACUCAUUGGCCCCAUCUCUAAUGAUCAAAUAUUUUUUGUUGAAUAAGAUGCUUUAUUCAAAACAUCAUAAAAAUUUAAUUAUUAAAAAGAGGUAUAAUUACCGGUUGUGGCCAAAAGCAUAACAACAACGAAGGCGGCUGAAACAAGACGCAUUGAACGCUCCAUUUGAAUCUGCGUGUAUGUAAGUAUGUGCUUGAUCCGCGUGUUUCUGUGUGUGUGCUUGUGUGUGAUAAGAGAGAUCUUAGACGCUGAUAGAAAAAAAAAUAACCAUGGAAGGCUUUUUAUAUAGGGGUCUAGCGCAUAUUAAAGAGGAUCUGUCUCCAUAAAGCGAGGUAGCUCCACACCCAAAAUACAAAGUUGAAAUUUCCAACUUAAGAGGCACCAUAAACAAAAUUUCUAUUUUUGAUGACUAAGUUCUCCGCCAUACAUUUUUCUAUACAUAUUAAGGUUUCUUCUUCAAGCACAUUUAACUUUUGCUUUUAAAAGAAUAUUUGGGUUAAGCACAUUUGACUUAUUAUUCACAUUUUUAUAUGUAAAUGAAGCGGCAUACAUACAUACAUACAUACAUACAUACAUACAUAUAUAUAUAUAUAUAUAUAUCUCACAUAAAAGACCAUAUUUGUAUGUUUUUUACACAAGUUUUGGUCUGUCUGUACCAAAUUAAUCUAAAUUAUAUAGAUCAGGAUUUGCACAUUAGGUGUAGACGAAGAUUACGUUGUUUUAGGUAACAUGGCUAAGCCUAAUAAAAAAGGAAAACUAUAAAAAUGGCUUGAAAACUUUGAGUUUUAAUGAUAAUGACAAAAUAAAGGGUAAGGUGAAUAGUACAUAAUUGACUUUUUAGUGUAAAAAUGUAGUUUAUUUUUCGUUAAAGUAAACAGUACCGGGAGAUUUUCGUUAAAGUUCCCUAAUAAAAAUGAAUAUUAAAGUAGAACCUCUAGGAAAUGAUGAUUAAUUGUAUUUCGUAGGGCAUUACAAAGACUUAAAUUUGUUGACAAAUAAGUAGUUACGCAGUACGACAUACUAUACAAAGUAACUCACGACGGCGAUACUUAACUAAUAAGAACAUUAAAAACCAUAACAGAGAUACGAUAUUAAUUAACAACCCGACAAUGAAUUAUUCCAGCUAGUUACACACUAGCACUAAAGUACAUGCGUCCAUGCACCCCAUUACUUAUUAAGUGAUAAGUGAUCAGCAUCACUAGCUUAGUUAAUUAGCUAUUUAACUAUUUUUAGGCACAAGCAUCUGCGACGUAAACCCAAGAACCAGCUACCAGUGAAGCCUUUAGUUUGGCAAACAACUGCAAAGUUACUUUUACUCAUGCAAUUUCCAGGGAAGCGGUUACUUUGAGAUUCGCAGGUCCUACCCUCAACAACUUUCGUCCCUUUAAACAAUUAUUCCAAACAAAAUAAGGUUACUAUGCAUGCUUAUAAUCGGAAUAAUAUAUAUAUAUUAACGAUGAAGUAAGUUAACAAGAUCGAGCAAGAAGAAAUACUACCGCCGGCGACCAAAAGCAGCAGGAAGAAGCAGAUAGUUGGGAGAAAACGCAUGGAACGCUUUUUAUGUAUAUAUAACAAGUUUACAUAUAAGAUUUCGAACUUAGGGCAACUUAGAAUGACACCAUUGAUAUAUAUCGUUAUAUAUAUAAGCUCUUAUAAAUUCAUACCAUAGCAAUACACCAGGGACGAAAUCUGAGUUCUAUAUGAAUUGGGACAUCCUAAAAAAUAAAGUCAUAAUUAAAAAGUAAGAAUUAACUAACAAUGCACAUAUAUUAAUCCAUAAAAUAUGUCAUACAUCAUAUUAUAAUAUCUCACAACGCAUUUCUAAGUUUUGAGCGUUGCUUAAUAAUUUAAUUACCAAUACCAUCAAAUAUUUGUUCCUAUAAAAAUAACCAUGUUUUCAUUCAUCUAUUAAUUUUCUUAUGAUUUCUUAAUUGAUACUUUAAAAAUUUCCGAAAAUACUUUAUCACGUGAAAUUAUAAUAUGCAAUAUGUACAAUUUUUUCAUAAAUAACUGAAUUAGGGCAUCAGCCCGUUGGGCCUAAGGUGGCUCAUAUGUUGGCAAUACCACACAUACUAUGUAGAAAAGUGAGAAAAAUACGAAAGUAUUUUAAAAGUGAGAGAAAAAUAUGAAAGUAUUUUAAGAAAAAAAAUUUGGAAGGGUCUUUUAAAGUGUUAUCAAGAAAAUAUCAAUCCUUAAGGACAAUUUCUUCUAAAAUAAAAUAAAAUAAAAAUAAACAAUUAAUAAGUCUUUGCUUAAAAGUUGCUUAACCAAUUUCGAACCUUUUCCUUUUUUUUUUCUUGUGCAUCAACCUCACCUUGUCUUACAUAUAUUACUACUGGUUUAAAAGUCAAAAGAACAUAAUACAACAGAAGGUGUGGAUAGAAAAGUACGUCUGAAAUCGACAAUGCGACUUAAAUAAUCUUUGUAACACAAAUUAAAGUAAUGCGUUGAAUCCAAGUACACUAAGUGAAAAUUUUCAAUAAAAUGCCUUGUCAAAACGGAAAAAAAAUAAAUUGUUAUUAGCAUUUGACGAUAAUUAUCUAUCACUCUUUCUUAAUUGAAAGUCAAUAAUCAAUAAUUAUCUAUCUAUCAUUGCGCGAGAAGAAGAAAGUAGCAGCCACUUCGGCCCUUCACAGCAGCGACCUUCCAAUCCACAACAAUGACUAAGAGGACGAAGAAGGCCGGUAUCGUUGGGAAAUAUGGAACCCGUUACGGUGCUAGUCUGCGUAAGCAGAUUAAGAAAAUGGAAGUCAGUCAGCACAGCAAGUAUUUCUGUGAAUUCUGUGGCAAGUAUGCUGUGAAGAGAAAGGCUGUUGGAAUCUGGGGAUGUAAGGACUGCGGAAAAGUUAAGGCGGGCGGUGCCUACACCUUGAACACUGCUAGUGCUGUGACGGUUAGGAGCACCAUUAGGAGGCUGAGGGAGCAAACCGAGAGUUAAGCUGCUGUUGGUGGCCUCUACCACUCUAUGAGCGUCUUGCAGCUAUGGAUAUCUCAAACAGUUUUGGGGAUGGUUCUCCUUUUGUUUGCUUAUAUUAUUUUGAAGAACUCGUUAGAUGCAUGUUGACUCAUUGUAGUGUGUUUAAUCUGAGAUCUUAGCUUCCACCUUUGAAUUCAGAAUGCAGUUUAAUAGUUAAAAAAAAAAAAAAAAAAAAAAAAGUCAAUAAACGAAAGAAGAGUUCAUGGUGACUGGAAUGUUAAUAAUAACCCUAACGAAAAGCAUAUAGGAUAAUAGACGAUUAAAAGUACGUAAGGUGCAGUGAAAACACUACACUAGACAUAUGAAUAAUGAUCUAUGCAGGGUCAUUCAAUUUAUUAGCAAAAGCAACCAUGUGGAUACAGGGUCAUAUCAAUCCAUCACAUUACACAAGCACGGUCUCUACAGAGAUUACAUUUCUUUUUAACUAAUUAAUUAACACUUUUUGGUGCACAUGCAUGUACGGGUCAAGCCACUACAUUUGCCUCUGGUGAAUUGCUCCUUUCUGCAGGUGUGUUUACAGUUGUUAGAGGAAAAGCACAACCCCUUGAACAAGGUGCUCGGAACCUCGCAGAUUUUUCCCUCAACUGCCUUGUUUGACUCAGUCAUUGCCUCAACACUUAUUGGCCCCAUCUCUAAUGAUCAAAAUUUUGUUGUUGAAUAAGAUGCUUUAUUCGAAACAUCAUAAAAAAUUAAUGAUAAUAAAGGGGUAUAAUUACCGGUAGCGGCCAAAAGUAGAACAAGAACGCAAACGGCUGAAACAAGACGCAUUGAACGCUCCAUUUGAAUCUGAGUGUAUGUGAGUAUGUGCUUGAUCCGUGUGUUUCUGUGUGUGUGCUUGAUUGUGAUAAGAGAGAUCUUAGCCGCUGAUGCAAAGAACAAUAACCAUGGAAGGCUUUUUAUACAGGGGUCUAGCCCAUAUUAAAAAGGAUUGGUCUCCGUAAAGCAAGGUAGCUCCAUACCCAAAAUACAAAGUUGAAAUUUCCAACUUAAGAGGCACCAUAAACAAAAUUUCUAAUUUUGAUGACUAAGUUCUCCGCCAUACAUUUUUCUAUGCAUACUAGGGUUUCUUUUUCAAGCACAUUUAACUUUUGCUUUUAAAAGAAUAGUUGGGUUAUAAGCACAUUUGACUUAUUAUUCAAAUUUUUAUAUGUAAAUGAAGUGGUGUGUGUGUGUGUGUGUAUCUCACAUAAAAGUCCAUAUUUCUUAUAACAAUAUAAUUGUUUUUUACACAAGUUUUAGUUUGUCUGUACCAAAUUAAUCUAAAUUAUAUAGAUCAGGAUUUGCACAUUAGGUGUAGACGAAGAUUACGUUGCUUUAGGUAACGUGGCUAAGCCUAAUAAAAAUGGAUGCUAAAGUCGAACCCUGAGGAAAUGAUGAUUAAUUGUAUUUCGUAGGGCAUUACAAAGACUUAAAUUUGUUGACAAAUAAGAAGUUACGCAGUAUGACGUAUUGUACAAAGUAACCCACAACGGUGAUACUUAACAAACAUGAACAUAAAAAACCAUAACAGAGAUACGAUGUCAAUUAAUCACCCAACAGUGAGUUAUUCCAACUAGUUCCACACUAGCACCAAAUUACGUGCAUCUAUGCACCACUAAUAAUUAAGUGAUAGUGAUAAGUGAUCAGCUCAUCACUAGCUUAAUUAAUUAGCUAAUUCACCAUUUUUUUGUGCAAAAGCAUCUGCGGCGUAAACCCAAGAACCAGCCACCAGUGAAGUGGUUACUCCAAGACUCGCAAGUCCUACCCUCAGCAAUUGUUGUCCCUUUGAACAAUUAUUCCAAACAAAAUAAGGUUACUAUGCAUGGUUAUAAACGGAAUAAUAUAUAUAGCAGAUAGUUGGGAGAAAACGCAUGGAACGCUUUUUAUGUAUAUAUAACAAGUUUACACUUAAGAUUUCGAACUUAGGGUAACUUAGAAUGACUAUUGAUAUAUAUAUAAGCUCUUAUAAAGUCAUACUAUAGCAAUACAUGAGAGACGAAGUUUGAGAUCGAUUUGACUUAGGACAUCCUAAAAAUAAAGUCAUAAAUUAAAAAGCUUAAGAAUUAACUAACAAAGCACAUAUAAUAAAUCAUAAAAUAUUUCAUACAACAUAGUACAAUAUCUCACAACGCAUUUUUAAGUUUUGAAAGCGUUGCAUAACAAUUUCAUUACCAAUAUCAUCAAAUAUCUAUUCCUAUCAAAAUAAUCAUGUUAUCAUUCAUCCAUUAAUUUUCUUACGAUUUAUCAUUUGAUCAUUUAGAAAUUUCAUAGCCGAAAAUACUCUAUGACAUGAAAUUAUAAUAUGCAAUAUAUGUAAAAAAAUUCACAAAAAACGAAGUUUGGGCAUCAGCUCCUUGGGCCAAGGUGGCUCCGUUCUUGGCAAUAUUACACAUACCAUGCAGAAAAGCGAGAGAAAAAUAUGAAAGUGUUGUAAGAAAGAAAAAAAUGUGGAAAAAGUCUUUUAAAAUGUUAUGAAGAAAAUAUUAAUCUUUAAGGACUAUUUCUUCUAAAAAAAUUAAAAAAAAACGAUGAAGUCUUUGCUUAAAAAUUGCUUAAGCAAUUUCGAACCUUUUUCUAAUUUUUUUUUCUUGUGCAUCAACCUCACCUUGUCUUAGAUAUAUUACUACUAGUUUAAAAGUCAAAGAACUUAAUACAACCGAAGGUGUCGAUAAAAAAAUACAUCUAAAAUCGACAAUGCUACUUAAAUAGUCUUUGUGACACAAAUUAAAGAAAUGUGUUGAAUCCAAGUACACUACGUGAAAUUUUUCAACAAAAAUGCCUUUUCAAAACGGAAAAAAAUAUAUUGUUAUUAGCAUUUGGCGAUAAUUAUCUAUCACUCUUUCUUAAUUGAAAGUCAAUAAAUGAAAGUAGAGUCUGUGGUGACUAUUUGGAAUGUUAAUAAUAACCCUGAAGAAAAACAUACAUGAUAGGCGAUUAAAAGUACAUAGGGCGUGGUGAAAACACUACACUAGACAUAUGAAUAAUGAUCAAUGUAGGGUCAUUCAAUUUAUUAGCAAAAGCAACCAUGUGAAUACAAGGCCAUAUCAAUCCAUCGCAUUACACAAACAUGGUCUCUACACAGAUUACAUUUCUUUUUAACAAAUUAAUUAGCACUUUUUGGUGCACAUGCAUGUACAGGUCAAGCCACUACAUUUCCCUCUGGUGAAUUGCUCCUUUUUGCAAGUGUGUUUACAAUUGUUAGAGGAAAAGCACAACCCCUUGAACAACGUGCUAGGAACCUCGCAAAUCUUUCCCUCAACUGCCUUGCUUGACUCAGUCCUAACCUCAACACUCAUUGGCCCCAUCUCUAAAGAUCAAAGUUUUUUGUUGAAUAAGAUGCUUUAUUCGAAACAUCAUAAAAAAUUAAUUAUUAAAAAGAGGUAUAAUUACCGGUAGCGGCCAAAAGCAAGACAAGAACGAAAGCGACUGAAACAAGACGCGUUGAAUGCUCCAUUUGAAUGUGUGUAUGUGAGUGUGUGCUUGAUCCGUGUGUUUCUGUGUGUGUGCUUGUGUUUGAUAAGAGAGAUCUUAGACGCUGAUGCAAAGAAUAAUAACCAAAGGAAGGCUUAUUAUAUAGGGAUCCACUGUAGAUUAAAGAGGACCAGUAUCAGUAAAGUGAGUUAGUUCCAGAGUCGAAAUAUAAAGUUGAAAUUUCCAACUUAAAAGUCACCAUAAACCAAAUUCCUAUUUUUGUUGACUAAGUUCCCCGCCAUACAUUUUUCUAUGCACAUUAGGGUUUCUUUUUCAAGCACUUUUAACUUUUGCUUCACAUUUUUAUUUGUAAAUGAAGCGAUAUACAUACAUACAUAUAUAUAUAUAUAUAUAUAUAUAUAUAUCUCACAUAAAAGACCAUAAUUCUUGUAACAAUAUAAUUGUUUUUUACAAAAGUUUUAGGCUGUUUGUACCAAAUUAAUCUUAAUUAUAUAGAUCAGGAUUUGCACAUUUGGGUACAGAAAGAUUAUGUUGCUUUAGCUAACUUGGCUAAGCCUAAUAAAUUGAGUGUUAAAAUAGAAUCAUUGAGGAAAUGAUGAAUACCAGGGAUGAAGUCUUAUAAAUUCAUACUAUAGCAAUACCCAGGGACGAAGUCUUAUAGAAUCAUUAUUUGAGGUAAGUUCUUAUAAAUUCAUACUAUAGCAAUACCCUGGGACGAAGUCCUAUAAAUCCAUCGUUGGCCAUACUACACAUAGUAUGCAGAAAGGUGAAAGAAAAAUAUGAUAGUGUUUUAAGAGCAAGUCCACAUCAGCAAUAACAAUAAUAAAAGAUAUCACUAGUGUUUUGCAACCGAAAUGUCAAUUUCUAUGUGGCAUGAUAUGAAAAGCAGCAGAGGAAGUUGUUGUCAAACUUCAAAUCUAUUUUUAGUAAUUAAUAAAUACUUUUUAUAAUUUUAAUAGUUAUCUUUUGUUUUAAAAUACUAAUUACAACUAUAAAAAGUAAAUAAUAGUUUAAAUUUAACAUAUCGGUUAGAGAACAAAAUUUAUAAAAAGAUCAAUGUGCCACAUAAGCCUUCAAAUUUAAAUUUUGUAUUUAAAAUUUGGCAUCUCCUUUGGAGAUGAUCUAAGAAAAAAAUUGUGGGAGAGUAUUUUAAAAUGUUAUCAAGAAAUUUUUAUCUUAAAGGACUAUUUCUUCUAAAAUAAAAUAAAAAUAAACAAUUAAUUCUUUGUUUAAAAGUCGCAUAAGCAACUUCGUACCUUUUCUUAAUUUUUUCUUGUGCAUCAACCUCACCUUGUCUUACAUAUAUUAUUACUGGUUUAAAAGUCAGAAGAUCUUAAUACAAUAGAAGGUGUGGAUAAAAAAGUACAAUGUGACUGUGAUACAAAUUAAAGUAAUGUGUUGAAUACAAAUACACUAAGUGAAAUAUUUUCAACAAAUGCCUUGUCAAAACGGAAAGAAAAAAAGAAUCGUUAUUAACAUUUCAUGAUAAUUAUCGUGCACUAUUCUUAAUUAAAAGUCAAUAAAACGAAAGAAGAGUAUGUGAUGAUUAUCAAGAGUAUUAAUAAUAACCCUAAAGAAAAACAUACAGGAUAAUAGACGAUUAAAAAUACGUAAGACAUGGUGAAAACACUACAAAAGACAUAAGAAUAAUGAUCCAUGUAGGGUCAUUCAAUUUAUUAGCAAAAGCAACCCUGUAAAUACAGGGUUAUAUCAAUCCAUCUCAUUACACAAGCACAGUCCCUACACAGAUUACAUUUCUUUUUAACAAAUUAAUUAGCACUUUUUGUUGCACAUGCACCUACGGCGGAAGCCACGACAUUUGCCUCCGGUGAAUUGCUCUCUUUUGCAAGUGUGUUUACAGUUGUUAGACGAAAAGCACAACCCCUUGAACUUGCCGCUUGCAGCCUCGCAGGUCCUUUCCUCAACUACCUUGCUUGACUUGCUCCUUGCCUCAACACCCAUUGUCCCCAUCUCUGAAGAUCAUUUUUUGUUGUUGAAUGAGAUGCUUUACUCAAAACAUCAUAAGAAAUUAAUUAUUAAAAAGAGGCAUAAUUACCGGUAGCGACCAAAAGCAAGACAAGAACGAAGGAGGCUGAAACAAGACGCAUUGAACGCUCCAUUUGAAUUUGUGUGUAUAUGAGUGUGUGCUUUGAUCUGUGUGUUUGUGCGUGCGUGCUUGUGUGUAUGACAGAUCUCAGACGCUAAUGCAAAGAACAAUAACCAUGCAAGGCUUAUUAUAAAGGGAACUAGGACAUGUUAUAGAGGAUCGAUCUCCGUAAAGAGAGGUAUCCAUACCUAAAAUAAAAAGUUGAAAUUUCUAACUUAAGAGACACCAUAAACCAAAUUCCUAUUUUUGCUGACUACGCCCUCUGCCAUACAUUUUUCUAUGCACGUUAGGGUUUCUUUUCAAACACAUUUAACUUUUGCUUUUAAAAGAAUGUUUGGGUUUUAAGCACAUCUGACAUAUUAUUCACAUUUUUAUAUGUAAAUAAAGUGGCAUAUAUAUCUCACAUAAAAGACCAUAGUUCUUAUCACAAUAUAAUUGUUUUUCACAUGAAUUUUAGUCUGUCUAUACCAAAUUAAUCUAAAUUAUAUAGAUCAGGAUUUGCACGUUUAGUGUAGAGGAAGAUUACGUUGCUUUAGGUACGUUGUUUUAGCUAACUCGGUUAAGCCUAAUAAAAUGAAUGAUAAAAUAAAAUCACUGCGGAAAUGAUGAUUAAUCGUAUUACGUAGGGUAUUACAAAGACUUAAAUUUGUUGACAAAUAUAAAACUAGUACGACAUUACAAAGUAACUCACGACGGUGGUACUUAACAAACAAGAACAUCAAGAACUAUAACAAGGUAACGAUAUUAACAGCCUGACUGUGAGUUGGGUCAUUAAUUUAUUUUAGCUAGUGCCACCCUAGUCCCAAAGUACGUACAUCCAUGCACGCACUGGUAAUUAUGUGAUAAGCUCAUCACUAGCUUAACUAAUUGAUUUAAUUAGCAAAUUAACAAUGUCUAGUGCAAAAGAAUCUACGGCAUAGGCCACAACACUGGCCUCCAGGGAAGCCCUCAAUUUGGCAAACAGCAACAGAGUUACUUUUACUCACGCAAGUCCCCUUGAAGGGGUUACUCUGAGACUCGCAGGUCCUACCCUCUGCAACCAUCGUCCCUUUAAGCAGUUAUUCCAAACAUAUAUGGUUAGUAUGCUUGGUUAAAAUCGUAAUAGACUAUAUUAAUGAUGAAGUUAAUUAAAAAGAUCGAGGGAGAACAAAUAUUACCGGUGGCCACCAAAAGCAACAGGAAGACGAAGGCAGUUGGUAUUAACCAUAGUCAUUAGUGAUGACAUGGUUACUUAGUAAUGAAGAAUAUAGUUAGUUGAAAUGUGUUGGUAGGUUGUCAUAAGGAUAAGAUUGGUUACUAUAGUUAGAAGGGUAUUAUUGUAAUUAGGUUAUAUGGCUAUAUAAGGGAUUAUAUAGCUAUCAUUUCCUUAAGUUCUUUUGUAUACAUUUUCUCCAUUUUAAUCAAUACAAUCUUUCUUGUUU